rnacentral:rRNA from 1 species
AAUCAACGCUGGCGGCGUGCCUCAGACAUGCAAGUCGAACGAUUAAAAGCUCUCUUCGGAGAGUGCAUAGAGUGGCGCACGGGUGAGUAACACGUAAGUAAUCUACCUUUGAGUGGGGAAUAACAUCGGGAAACCGAUGCUAAUACCGCAUAAUGCAGCGGCAUCGCAAGAUGACAGUUGUUAAAGAUUUAUCGCUUGAAGAGGAGCUUGCGGCAGAUUAGCUAGUUGGUAAGGUAAUGGCUUACCAAGGCUACGAUCUGUAACCGGUCUAAGAGGACGGUCGGUCACACUGACACUGAAUAACGGGUCAGACUCCUACGGGAGGCAGCAGUCGGGAAUUUUGGGCAAUGGCGAAAGCCUGACCCAGCAACGCCGCGUGAAGGAUGAAGUAUUUCGGUAUGUAAACUUCGAAAGAAUAGGAAGAAUAAAU